UGCGUAGGCGGCGCGGAAAGUUGGAUGUGAAAUCCCUCGGCUCAACCGAGGAACUGCGUUCAAAACUACCGUGCUCGAGGAAGACAGAGGUAAGCGGAACUUCGGGUGGAGCGGUGAAAUGCGUUGAUAUCCGAAGGAACACCGGUGGCGAAAGCGGCUUACUGGGUCUUUUCUGACGCUGAUGCACGAAAGCUAGGGGAGCAAACGGGAUUAGAUACCCCGGUAGUCCUAGCUGUAAACGAUGAGCACUUGGUUGGAGACUCCUCCAUAGGUUUCCGGCCGUAGCGAAAGUGUUAAGUGCUCCGCCUGGGGAGUAUGGCCGCAAGGCUGAA
rnacentral:rRNA from 1 species